CCUACGGGAGGCAGCAGUAGGGAAUCUUCCACAAUGGGCGAAAGCCUGAUGGAGCAACGCCGCGUGGGUGAUGAAGGCCUUCGGGUUGUAAAACUCUGUCAUUCGGGACGAACCGGAGUCUGAGGAAAUGCAGACUCUCUGACGGUACCGGAGGAGGAAGCCCCGGCUAACUACGUGCCAGCAGCCGCGGUAAUACGUAGGGGGCAAGCGUUGUCCGGAUUCACUGGGCGUAAAGCGCGCGCAGGCGGUGAUGUAAGUCUGAGGUGAAAACCCGAAGCUCAACUUCGGGACUGCCUUGGAUACUGCGUCACUUGAGGAUAGGAGAGGCAAGGGGAAUUCCACGUGUAGCGGUGAAAUGCGUAGAGAUGUGGAGGAACACCUGUGGCGAAGGCGCCUUGCUGGCCUAUUUCUGACGCUGAGGCGCGAAAGCGUGGGGAGCAAACAGGAUUAGAUACCCUGGUAGUCCACGCUGUAAACGAUGAGUGCUAGGUGUAGGUGGGCUCAUACCCAUCUGUGCCGAAGCUAACGCAUUAAGCACUCCGCCUGGGGAGUCGGUCGCAGACUGAAACUUAAGGAAUUGACGG
rnacentral:rRNA from 1 species